rnacentral:rRNA from 1 species
CACGUAGGGCGCAAGCGUUGUCCGGAAUUAUUGGGCGUAAAGAGCGUGUAGGCGGCCCGGUAAGUCCGCUGUAAAAGUCAAAGGCUCAACCUUUGAAUGUCAGUGGAUACUGCCGGGCUAGAGUCCGGAAGAGGCGAGUGGAACUCCUGGUGUAGCGGUGGAAUGCGCAGAUAUCAGGAAGAACACCAACGGCGAAGGCAGCUCGCUGGGACGGUACUGACGCUGAGACGCGAAAGCGUGGGGAGCGAACAGG